rnacentral:rRNA from 1 species
UACGUAGGUGGCAAGCGUUGUCCGGAUUUACUGGGCGUAAAGAGCGCGCAGGCGGUCGUUCAAGUCGAGUGUGAAAGCCCCCGGCUCAACUGGGGAGGGUCAUUCGAUACUGAUCGACUCGAAGGCAGGAGAGGGAAGUGGAAUUCCCGGUGUAGUGGUGAAAUGCGUAGAUAUCGGGAGGAACACCAGUGGCGAAGGCGGCCUGCUGGGCUGUUGCUGACGCUGAGGCGCGACAGCGUGGGGAGCAAACAGG